rnacentral:rRNA from 1 species
GACAGAGGGUGCAAACGUUGUUCGGAAUUACUGGGCGUAAAGCGCACGCAGGCGGUCUAUCAAGUCAGAGGUGAAAUCCCAAGGCUCAACCUUGGAACUGCCUUUGAAACUGAUAGACUUGAGACCGAGAGAGGGUAGUGGAAUUCCUAGUGUAGCAGUGAAAUGCGUAGAUAUUAGGAGGAACACCGGUGGCGAAGGCGGCUACCUGGCUCGGUACUGACGCUCAUGUGCGAAAGCGUGGGGAGCAAACAGG